UAAUCUUCUCUCUGAAUUGCCCAGCCUGCGAUCAUUUUGUUCCUUACCCUGUUACCCAUGCCCCUAGCCCUCCUUGCCCCUGCCCGGCUCCUCUCUUUCCCGACAAGGGCCAAUCCCUUCUCCUCUCCCACAGACCAAGAAGAAGGCCAAAAAUUGGCAAAUGCAGCAAGUAAAGGGAGAUUCAGACAAAGAAACCUCGCCACCAUCAACACCUUCAUAUUCUAGUUGACAUGCGUGCUAAUGGGGAGAUUAAAGAUGCACUGAAGAAGAUGUAUGACAUUUAGACCAAGGAAUUGAACCCUUUGAUCAGGAGGUCAUAGUCAACUGGAGUAUUUGAAACUUAAAGCACCUUAUGAAGUGAGGCAAAGAUGACAAAGAUACUUCACUGCUGGAGGAUGAGCUUCGUAGCUAGAUUAUGGAUAUGGAUUAAAAAUUUUGAAGGACAGUAGCAUCAAUUUCCUUUGCAUUGUUCUGAUGCUUGGAAUCUCUUGGGUGAGGACCUUGGUCCUUUAAACAGCAGGAACUUGAAUCAUUGGAAUUGUAGCUUGAUGUGUCUCUGAAGUAGGCCUACUCAGGUGAUCAUCUGGAUUGCUUUAUGAUAUUAAAGCACAGGAUUUGCACCUAAAAUCGGCACGUACGACUGCAAAUCAAAUUCAUUAUCCUGCCAGUCUUCACAUCAUACCGAUAUCAGGAGCUUUAUGUAUUUACCCUAUCUUCAAGCUGUUAAGAGAUUCUUCUCCUUUCAGGUCCUUCAAGAAAUUACUGCUGGUCUUCUUGAUUCAGCAAAUGGCUCAGGGAUUUUAGGUUUAUUGCUAGAAUAUGCAGGACAAUGAUACUUGCUCAUACUGGAGAAGCUCUCUAUUUGCUGGUUGUUUUCUUGUUGACGGCCAUCUAUCUAUUUAUAGAGGUUGGUGGACUUUAAUGCCGGACUUGAAUUGAUUCCUUUCACGGACUUCAACUUACUUCAAUUCCGUGGACUUGAACAAAAUAUUUUGGAUUCCAGGAGUGACGUAAGUGCUUACGUCUUAUUCUAUACUUUGACUGCUUGAUGCGGUGUUCUUAUCUUUUUUUUUUUUCUCCUUGGUACAAGUCGAACACGUGUUAUUUUUGUGUUUUCUCAUCCUGCAUAAAGUUUUGAUUGUUUUAUUGCUAGAUUUUAUUCGACUGCUUUCAAAUAAACGUAUUUUUCAAUUUAGAUAAUUCAUUGUUGCCUGCGGGGUCUUUUCUGCAUAAGUAGUCAUUAUUGAAAAAAAAUGCUCCAUUUCCUCCAUAUAUACGAAAAUCUUGUUUGGGUGUAUUUUCAAAAUUUUGCAGAA